CCCCACAGCACCGAAGUAUAGAGAGACAUGUAAGUGAAGACAUUCUUUACUAACUCUUCUCUUCUGCUCCCACACUUUCGCUUUCUCUUCGUAUGGUGUGGUCAUAAACUCAUAAUAGAGCUAUCUUUGGUGCUCUGGUAUAUUCUGGUUGAUUUUGAAGACAGUCGAUUCAAAAAUGGAUUGGAAUGGCGCCUUUGCUUCUCGACCACAGCCUACUCUUAACUCCCAUUACGACUAUAGCUAUGAUCAAUGUCCAGGUAUAUAUGAAUUCUGAUGCUAAGUGUGUAAAUAUUAUUUGUUUGAAUUACUUUGCUAUAUGCUGUUCCGUCUUCUUCUUCCGCGGAGGCCAGCAGGGGCAAAAGCAGCUACAACGCUCAAGAGAAGACCACAACUGUUUAUUAGAGAAGAGUUUCCAGGAAGGAAGAGAUGAAGCUUUCCAGGGAACUUGGACUCCAACCAAGGCAAAUUGUUAUCUGGUUCCAAUACAGGCGUGCUGAAUGGAAAGCUAGACAGCUUGAGCGCUUAUAUGAUACCCUUAAACACGACUAUGAUGUUAUUUCCAGGGAAAAACAGAAGCUUCAAGAUGAGUGCAAGUCAUGAAAUGGAAAGGUCUGCUAGUGCAACAGGCGACAAGAGAGCAAGUCGUCUCCACAGUUGACACUAAAAUCUCCGGUGAAGAGACCGUGGAAAGCACCUCAGUUCCCAGCUCUAACAAGACAACGGUAGCAGCAAGCCCGCAUGUCCCAAUCCCCGAAUGCAACUGCGUUUUCAAUCUCCUUACUGGGGGUGCAAAACUACCUUCUUAUCCCUAAUAGACAAAACUUAAUCAACUUGUUUAUAUUUUGAUUAGACUGAGUUAAUUUAGCAUGGCCAGCUUAUAAUUUACAACAUUCAGUUUUACAAGUUUUCUCAGACCAUCGGCUAUGAGGAUGAUUUGGUUGGAAAAUUGACAUUUAUAUCAAUUCACUAAUACAAAUGCAACUGGAUUAAUGUUCAAGCUGCAGCAUAUCGGAUUAUGAACUUGAAUUACUUUUGCAUGAUGAUUAAAGCUGAUUUUUCUUGGCGUA